rnacentral:tRNA from 1 species
UGGGCCAUUAGUUCAGUUGGGAGAAUGUCUGCUUCGCAUGCAGGAGGUCGCGAGUUCGAAUCUCGCAUGGUCCAU